AACGCACAUUGCGCCCGCUAGUAUUCUGGCGGGCAUGCCUGUUCGAGCGUCAUUUCAACCAUCAAGCCUUGUCUAGGCUUGUGUUGGGGCCCUGCGGCUGCCGCAGCCCCCUAAAUGCAGUGGCGGGCUCGUUGUCACUCCGAGCGCAGUAGCGUAUCUCGCUCUGGGCGUGGCGGCGGGUGCUAGCCGUGAAACACCCACUAAGGUUGACCUCGGAUCAGGUAGGAAUACCCGCUGAACUUAA
rnacentral:misc_RNA from 1 species